ensembl:lincRNA
AUGCAGGCAGCAGCAUCAGCCCGCGGGGCGCUCAGCGCUCACACAGCACACAGGGCGCCCCCAGCCAUGGCCGAGGCCUGGCCCCGCUCACCCGGGCAGGCCCCCGAGGCCCAUCUCGCUGCAGACGUAGGGGCGCCCCCGGCCACAGCUCCUGGCCAGCCCCGCUCACCUGGGCAGGCCCCCGAGGUCCAUCUCGCCGCAGAUGUAGGGGCCUGGACGCAGGAUCACCCACAGCCCCACCUCCUCCGCCAGCAGGAUGAAGGCCCUGGGGGGUCGGGGUCACCAACUCUCAGGGCUUGGAGCCCAGGGGCCCCUUGCCCAGUGCCCCUUCCCCUUGACAGCCCAGCCCUCCCUGGGGGGCUGGGGACGCUGAGGGCAGGACAGCUGGCAGAGCAGAGAUGCCCCGGGGUCACCGCCGAGCCCCCAGCCUGGGAUGUCGGCGCGGCCGCUCCGGGGCGCAAGCAGAAGGAAGCACUUCGCCCAGGGUAUGGAGUCCUGACCAAGGGCCUGACCCAAGGCCCCCAGCCCAGCAGGGGUCACCCUGCGAGCCAGGCACCUGGGAAUGGCUGUGGGGCUGGACUCGGGGGGCAGGCCUGGCCUGGGGGUGGCAGGGUCGUGAAGGAGGGCGUGGGGCCGGCACAGGGUCCCCCUAUGGCCCCCUCUGCCCAGAUGCCCCGUGGGUCCCCGCCCCUCAGACCCCCGGCCGGGUCACAGAACCUACUCCAGGUCCAGGUUCCCGGAGAAGUCGAAUGUGCCUCUCUCCGGCUCGUGGAGGUUCCACGGGACGUAGCUGUGGCAGGGAAGAGGGAGGUACAAACAGCAUGCUUUUAUUUCUUUCCUCCAAACUGCCAGGCCACUCCCAAGCCCUGAGAGAGCUCUGCUGUGGAAAAGCUGAAGCUUCCACUGGCACGGCAACCUGGUCACACAUGGUGGCUAUUCCAGCGGUUCCUUUCUCUGUUACCCACUUGUGUUCUAAGCUGCCAGUAAUCCUAUGGUUCUAAAUUCCUUGAAUUUAUGCACAAAUUUCCCCACUCACCAUCCUAUCCUUUGUCAUAUCCAUUAGAAAUUCAAAGAAAAGGUAAAAACCAUAAGUGUCUAUAUAUACCUCCCAAAUAUUGCUAAAAAUUAAUCAAAAUAACAACAGACGUGGGAUUUCUGUGAGGUGCAGGAGGGCCGAGAGGAGCUACUCCAUGUUCAAGGUCAGGAGGGGCGGCCAUGAGGAGAUACCCCUCAUCCAAGGUAAGAGAAACCCAAGUGAGAUGGUAGGUGUUGCAAGAGGGCAUCAGAGGGCAGACAGACUGAAACCACAAUCACAGACAACUAGCCAAUCUGAUCACACAGACCACAGCCUUGUCUAACUCAAUGAAACUAAGCCAUGCCUGUGGGGCAACCCAAGACGGGCGGGUCAUGGUGGAGAGGUCUGACAGAAUGUGGUCCACUGGAGAAGGGAAUGGCAAACCACUUCAGUAUUCUUGCCUUGAGAACCCCAUGAACAGUAUGAAAAGGCAAAAUGAUAGGAUACUGAAAGAGGAACUCCCCAGGUCAGUAGGUGCCCAAUAUGCUACUGGAGAUCAGUGGAGAAAUAACUCCAGAAAGAAUGAAGGGAUGGAGCCAAAGCAAAAACAAUACCCAGUUGUGGAUGUGACUGGUGAUAGAAGCAAGGUCCGAUGCUGUAAAGAGCAAUAUUGCAUAGGAAUCUGGAAUGUCAGGUCCAUGAAUCAAGGCAAGUUGGAAGUGGUCAAACAAGAGAUGGCAAGGGUGAACAUCGACAUUCUAGGAAUCAGCAAGCUAACAUGGACUGGAAUGGGUGAAUUUAACUCAGAUGACCAUUAUAUCUACUACUGUGGGCAGGAAUCACUUAGAAGAAAUAGAGUAGCCAUCAUGGUCAACCAAAGAUCCAAAAUGCAGUACUUGGAUGCAAUCUCAAAAAUGACAGAAUGAUCUCUGUUCGUUUCCAAGGCAAGCCAUUCAAUAUCACAGUUAUCUAUGUCUAUCUACGCCCCAACCAGUAACGCUGAAGAAGCUGAAGUUGAACGGUUUUAUGAAGACCUACAAGACCUCUUAGAACUAACACCCAAAAAAGAUGUCCUUUUCAUUAUAGGGGACUGGAAUGCAAAAGUAGGAAGUCAAGAAACACCUGGAGUAACACGCAAAUUUGGCCUUGGAAUGCGGAAUGAAGCAGGGCAAACACUAAUAGAGUUUUGCCAAGAAAAUGCACUGGUCACAGCAAACACCCUCUUCCAACAACACAAGAGAAAACUCUACACAUGGACAUCACCAGAUGGUCAACAC